AUUGAACGCUGGCGGCAUGCCUUACACAUGCAAAUCGAACGGUAACGGGCCUUCGGGUGCCGACGAGUGGCGAACGGGUGAGUAAUACAUCGGAACGUGCCCGAUCGUGGGGGAUAACGAGGCGAAAGCUUUGCUAAUACCGCAUACGAUCUACGGAUGAAAACAGGGGACCGCAAGGCCUUGCGCGGACGGAGCGGCCGAUGGCAGAUUAGGUAGUUGGUGGGAUAAAAGCUUACCAAGCCGACGAUCUGUAGCUGGUCUGAGAGGAUGAUCAGCCACACUGGAACUGAGACACGGCCCAGACUCCUACGGGAGGCAGCAGUGGGGAAUUUUGGACAAUGGGCGCAAGCCUGAUCCAGCCAUGCCGCGUGCAGGAUGAAGGCCUUCGGGUUGUAAACUGAUUUUGUACGGAACGAAAAGCCUUCUUUUAAUACAGGAGGGUCAUGACGGUACCGUAAGGAUAAGCACCGGCUAACUACGUG
rnacentral:rRNA from 1 species